rnacentral:rRNA from 1 species
AACGUGGGUAACCCUGCCCAAGAGAUCGGGAUAACACCUGGAAACAGAUGCUAAUACCGGAUAACAACAGAUGAUGCCUAUCAACUGUUUAAAAGAUGGUUCUGCUAUCACUCUUGGAUGGACCUGCGGUGCAUUAGCUAGUUGGUAGGGUAACGGCCUACCAAGGCGAUUAUGCAUAGCCUAGUUGAGAGACUGAUCGGCCACAUUGGGACUGAGACACGGCCCAAACUCCUACGGGAGGCAGCAGCC